UCAAACUCACGAACCGUGAGAUCAUGACCUGAGCUGAAGUCGAUCGAUGAACCAACUGAGCCACCCAGGCGCCCCGAGAUUUGGUGUUUUGUAAAAAGUACAAAUCUUCAGGAGAAGAGGGAGUGGGGAGUGGCUGCUAGUAAGUACAGAGUUUCUUCUCGGGUAAUGAAAAUGUUCUGGAACUGGACAAUGGUGAUGGUUGUAUGACCCUGUGAAUAUACUACCACCACUAAAACCACUGAGCACUGCACACUACAAGGGAGACCUGUAGGGUAUGUGAAUUACCCCUCAGUUUUCAAAGGGCAAACUCAGAGAAUUAAUUUCCCCCAAAGGAUUGCUUUCAGACAGACAUUUAGAAUGCCCCUCGCUUUAUCAAACAGUUUCCAGUGGCUCCCAUUUUCCUCCCUCAUAAAGUUCAUUCUUUCGGGGUCGAGCCCAGUCUGAUUUUUCAGCCUUGGUUUCAUUGCUCGUCAACACGAGGCCCCUUCUCCAGCCGGGCCCGAGAUUUGCUCUUUCUCCGGCACAUGGCGGACUUCUUCACCUUUAUGUCUUUUCUUGCCGGUGGUUUUGCUGAUAAUCCCCUCGUGCGUAUAUUUGGCAAACGAAAUGCUCCCCGUUGGCCCCGGCUUCAGAACCCAGAUCGAGUUGCACUAUCUGAGGGCGCUAUGGACUACCUUCCUCCCUCCCCCACUCCUUCCACUGAGUCUGUGUCCACGCUUUCCACUCACAGCUUUGGGUUGUAGAUGAUUGGUAUGUAGCUUACGGCCCCUCCUAACCAAUGAAUUUCACCAAGGAUAAGGGCAGCCAGGGGCUUGUAAGUAGCAGUUUCUGGGUUGGGCUGACUUUGCUUUGGGCGAGAGGUAGAUCUGAUAUGUGCCCUUGCCAGUGUCUGUGGUAUAAAUUCUCCUACUAAGGUGACAUCAGUGACCCCAGAGAUACUAGCUGGGAGUUGGAAGUCCUUCUCUGUUAGAUCCGUGGUGUAGCCGCAGAGAUUGCUAAGGAUUAGCAAAACCUGAAUUGGGACAUAGUUACCUAAAGAGGGAUUAGUGAAACUGCUAUAGAAGCGUAGAGGUGGAUGGAAAUUAAGAUGGGCACGCUAAUGUUUCAGCAAGCCUUGACUUGAAACUGAACAAAUUUUUCUCUUCCUCGUCCUUAAAGGAUCCUGCACCCCUUCAUUUGUUUUUUUCCGUAGAACCCGUUCUUCCAAGAACUCGGUGUCAAUAUGGAUGUUCCGCCGACCUCAGUGUAUAUACUUGGUAAUGAAACUCGAAUGGUGGUACCCAGGUUCCUUUGUCUGGCAAAGUAGUAACACUAUUGUUGCUCUUUAUCCCCCAGCUCAGUCUUCAUGUUAUAUUUCAGCUCAGGUACCCAGAGGUCACUUUUCAACAACAUUAGGACGGAGUGGGGAAACUUUCUAGCAACUAGAACGUUCCAUAAACCAAAGGGGUUGUCUCCUGGACCAGAGAACCGGGGGUCAGGGGAGUGUUCAUAGUUUAAGUGGCCAUGGUCUAAAUGUUGAAGGUGAGAUCUAUGCUACACUCUGGGGUAAACUAUAUAAACCUGUCCAUCUCUCCCAACUCUAAGAAAUUUGGAGUCUCAACUGGGUAUGGCUCCAAGGGCAUAGGGCAGAGAAACGGAUGCUGCUGUCAAUCACCCAGUGUCCCCAUGAGAGGUUAGGCAAUCACCCACUAGCAAGGUCUCCUGGCCGGCCUGAUCCAACCCCUCCCUGCACCUAAUAUAGCCUUCCCCACUUAAGCUCCCUCUCUACUUUGCAUUGUAUGUGUGAAUUUUGCACGUGAAUAUGGGUUUUGCCAGGCCGCAUCUGAUAUCCCGAGGGUGGAUUUGAUCUCUCAGAAGGCAACGGUCAUUUUUCCUGCGGGUUCCCAAGGGAAGAGCUGAGUUCUAAAUCAGGAAAAGGAAGCAAUAAUUCACAAAGGCUGCCUUAGGUACCAGUCUAUUGCUGGAACUCAUCAGCCCACUAUAUGAGAAGAAGUCCCUGGCCAAGAAAAAGAUGGAAUCUGUAAUCCUCAAGAAUCAGGCCAAUUGUUUCAAAUGUUUAUUUAUUUAUUUUUGAGAGAGAGCCAGAGAGCACAGGCGGGGAAGGGGCAGAGAGAGAGGGAGAGAGAAUCCCAAGCCUCCACACUCAGCAGGAGCCCGACGUGGGGCUUGAUUCCAUGACCCUGGGAUCUGUGACCUGCGCCGAAAUCAAGAGACUGAGCCACCCAGGUGCCCUCAGGUCAUUUUUUUGUAAGAAAACUUUUCUAGCUUCAUGUGGUUUUCUCCACUUCUCUUUUCAUCAUCUAGGAUUAAUUACAUUUUCAUUAACUGUUCCUACUUUCUCUGCUCUGUGGUAGAGGAUAUUCAGUUUUGUCCAACUAAGCCUUUAUUGAGCACCAUUUCUAGGGUGGGAACUGCUUUAAGCGCCUGUGAUACAAAGGUGAAGAAGAUACAGCCCUGCCCUUUGAGUAUUUCCAGUGAGAAAGAAAGACCUAACAUAUAAUUCUGGGAUCAUGCAGUAGAUGAUAUUGCAGUAUGCGGAAGGCAAAAAGAAAAUUAAAAAAGGAACUGUGGUAAGAGCUUGCUCAGAGGCAUGGAGGUAGAAAAUGAUCACGGUAGUACAUAAGAAGCAUGAGAAUAUUUGCUCCAUUCAUUAGUCCCCACCACAACCCUGUAAUGCAGACGUCUAUUAACAACCCCAUUCAACGAAUGAGUAAACUGAGACUCAGCGAAGAUAAGUAAGGGGCUGAAGUCCACGCACCUACUAAGUUGCAGAACCAGGGCUGGGAACCUGGCAGCCACAUUUUCGCCGGACAUCUUACCUCCGGGCCAUGCCGGGGCCUCCUGAUUGGCCGGACCUGGGUCAUGUGCCCGCCCCGGAAGCAGAGUGCGAGUUAGGUGGUUUCCCACAGAAAAAUCGUAGCGUUAAAAUCAGAAACAAACAAACAAACAAAAAGCAAGCUGGUGGUGGGGCAAGCAAAAUCAACAGUUGUCCGCUGCAGAAUCGCUUCGGGACUGCAGCUGUUCUCUUCCCUUGAGUUAUUUGCUUGGGAUGAAUUUUCCGCAGAUGGUAUCUCAUUGCUCAGAAUCUAAAACGCGUUAAAUGACUCUUGAUAGAGAACGCCGAGCAGUUUUUCAACAGGAUUGCGUAUUUACAUUGUUUGCCCAGAAUGAACUAGUUUUGCCACACUCUUCUCUGUGUGAGAUGCUGUUAGGUUUAAACCUAGACAAUUCUGACUUUACUAGAUUCUGUAUUUUUAGUUGCAUAGUUUUCCCUUUCUCUUUUUAGAGUGGAAAGUCCAAAGAGAGUAUAUAAAAGUUGGUUAGCCUCUGAAGCAACGGAUGAGCCAGUUGGGGCCCUGCGGGGAGGGGAAGGACAGGUGUGCCCAUUCAUCCCUGCAGCGUUGGGGACCAAAGGUCUGGGUCUGAAGAGAGGAGCAACAGGUCCAGCCGCAGCCUGGGGUUCAAGUUCAAAAGGUGCUUCCAAUGUACACCUUUAAAAAUUCUUUUCUUUAUGGUCACUUCAGUUGUGUUAUUGUAGUAAAGUUAGACUUCAUGCCAAUAAAAAAAAAAAAAAAUGCGUGCAGACACUAAUAAAAAACAGCUAGAGGGGGCGCCUGGCUGGCUCAGUCAGUAGAACGAGCAAUUCUUGGUCUCGGGGUUGUGAGUUCAAGCCCCAUUUUGGACAGAGACCUUACAUACAUACAUCCUGCAAAUAAAAAUAAAGUGCUCUCUUUCAAAAAAAAAAAAAAAAAAGGCAGCUAGAAAACUUGAGACAUUGCGGGGUGGCUCUUUGUGAGCCUAUAUCUCCAUUUUUCUAAAUCAUGAGGAGGGCAACCCCCAGCUCUCUGCCAGCAGUGCUGCCAGAGGCACGCGUGUGGCGUGUCCUGAAGACACAGAUCCACUCUCCACCCCAGGGUCCCCGCGCGCCCUCUCCUCCCAACCACCCCGCCGCCGGGGCCCGGACCAUAGAGGCGAGGAUACCUCCAAACUCCUAGAGGGGAAACGCGACUCUCGGGAGGCGGACUUCCGCUCGGGGCCACUUCCGGUUCUGCCCUACACGGCCGAGGGCGAUGGGUUGGAGGGCGUGGGCUGGGGCCUGGGGCCUGGGGCCGGGCCGGAGCCCUCGAGGGGCCUCCGGGGUGGGCGCCGGUCCCAGCCGGAGGGCUGGGGGCCGCGGGGCGCCCGCUCGGAGGGACCCACACGCUGAGGAGUCGGGGGGCGGACAGGGAGGUUGCCUGGAGGGGCCACCCUGGAGCCGGGGCCCCUGUCCCCUAAGUGAUGCCUCCGGCUUCACUCCUUUAAUCCCCAGCGCUUUGAACUCGUUUCCUUUUUAUAAAUACCGGAGGCCACUGGCGUGUAGAAAAUAAUGGCCGUACCCCCACUUAAGAAUGCGUAGUUUAGGGUCCGUUCCCAUAGAUCUGAGAGGACGGUCUACGUACCCAUUUUAAAAACAGCCCAGGGGCAUCUGGAUGGCCCAGUGGGUUACAGCCUCCGACUUGAUUUCGGCUCAGGUCAAGAUCUCACCGCUGGUUGGAGCUUCUCCUCAGGCUCUGCGCUGGCAGCUUGGGGCCUGCUUGGGAUUCAUUCCCUCUCUCUCAAAAUAAAUAUAAAUACAUAUGUAUUUUUUUAAUGACAUAAAAAACAGUCCAGUAACUAAAACAAAAAUAUAUGCCAUAGUAUCUAUUGUGGCCGGAUACAGGAGAGAGGUGUCAGGUCAAACUAUGAGGAACUGUGCCCGGGGAAGAAUGGAGUAAAGGGGGGAGUGCGCAGAGGUAAUUUGGAAGGAGGUGGGGAGGUACCAGAUGUAAGGAGUCCCAAUGCCUUGCCUGUGGGAGAGGAGGGUGAAGGCUUAGAAUAAAGAAAGUCCUCUUACCAAGGGUAAAUGGGAUGCUCGCCAUUGCAAACCAACUGCAGGAUACUGGCCUGGCUUCUUUACUGUUCUUGCCACAGGCUCUGACUGCCUACACAUUUCAACUCGAUUGUUCAGUUGUUCGGGAUUUUCAAGUGAGGACAACGUCUGCUGUCCCUUCUCCUACUGUGUGUGAUUGUACAGGAGCAAGGGUUCUUUGGUGAACCGGAUUUACCUUCUCUGACACUGUGUUACAAGACUGUGUUAGGGAGUAUUUCAUAUGAAGCUUUUACCAUAAUGUGUUUACCAUAAUGAACAAAAAUAAGUUUUGGGUUUGAACUAUGGUCUCUUAGCACAGCUAAUAAUAGAACACCAAAGUGUUCUGAGAAGCCCUGCAGUAAUGGAACUUGUCUCACUCUGUUUAGCCUGGUGUUUCUCAAGCAUUUUGACCACAGAAAUGUUUGAGUAACACCCUAUUAAUAUCUCUCCAGUGCGGUUUUUCCCAGAACACAUUUUGGGAAAUGCUGACAGAGAAGUCAUUCACCUGGGCGCAGACACUGUCCCAUCUCAAAAGACAUGUCAGAAGUCCUUUUUGAAAAGCAACUGACCGGAUUUCAGUAAGGAUAGUUGUGUUCGGGAAAAUGGUCCAAAGUUAACAAAGUACUACAAGCCAUGUAACGUUUGGAAAAGGAAGCGAACCCUCCUUGCCUUUCCUGCUACGUACGUCAUGGACAGUAGAUAAUGUCUCAAUAUUAUUGAGCAAAUGCCCUCAAUGUAUAAUUAUAAAACAAUGGAAAAAAGUACUGGGGGGUGGGGGGACAUGAAUUGUUGCAAGUGGAAAUACUACAGUUAGGGUUUCUUUUAUCUUUGUUACUUUUUUUUAAUGUUUAUUUUUGAGAGACAGAGACAGCGUGAGCAGGGAUGGGGCAGAAAACGGGAGACACAGAAUCUGAAGCAGGUUCCAGGCUCUGAGCUGUCAGCACAGAGCCCGACACGGGGCUCGAACUCACAAACCGAGAGAUCAGGACCUGAGCCAGAGCCACCGAGCCACCCAGGCACCCCUACAGUUAAGGGCUUCUUAAUGACAAACCUAGGAAAUUUGUUCACAGACUCCGAGAAAGAUCUAUAUUAUUUUUUUAAUGUUUAUUUUUGAGAGAGCGGGGAAGGGCAGAGAGGAAGGGAGACACAGGAUCCAAAGCAGCCUCUGCGCUGACAACAGAGAGAUGGAUGCAGGCUUGAACUCACGAACCACGAGAUCAUGACCUGAGCCAAAGUCAGACGCUUAACCAAUUGAACCCCCCCAGAUACCCCAACCAGCAGCUCUUAAUGAGGUGGUUUCACAUGUCUGACACAAAACUCUGUCCUGGAGAGCUUUGAAGUGACUUCCUAGUAUGUUAUUAAAUUUGCAGCUUCAAGCAAAACCUCCCUAAAGAUGAGGUAAGUAUACGUCAGAGUGCCCUUGCUCCAUUGCGUAGAGCCAGAAACCUGGUUUCGUUAGUUUGCCCAGAGGUGAGUAGGCUCCAGAGGACACACUAAUGCUAACCAAACUCAAAAGGGAUUGAUGUAUAAACCUAGAAUGUGCAUUAACUACUUUCUAGUGAAAAACUUAAUUUUCAGCCAUCUGGAUCAUUUUAUUUGCCAACAAGGUGUUCCUUCACGAAGGAAGAUCUGCGUGGGAGACCAGAUUCUUACUCUAUGUAUCUAUUGGCCCCGUUGUUGGUUUGAAACCUUGGGAGCUUCGCGGGUGAAAUCUGAAAUUGUUCUCCAUACACAGAGGGCUAUUUCUUGAAAAUGGAUCCUAGCACGGGAACAGCAGGCAGAGUAGACACGCCAAGGAUGGAAAGGAUGAGAAGCCUCCGAUUCUCCAGUCCAGCCUGAGGGUCACCUGGUCAUCAGUGUCCUCUUGAUGACUUCCCCCACCACCCACUUAACCCAUCCAAGAACCGAAACAUGUAUUAAAUUGGUUUUUUUUA